CAGCAGUGGGGAAUUUUCCGCAAUGGGCGAAAGCCUGACGGAGCAAUACCGCGUGAGGGAAGACGGCCUAUGGGUUGUAAACCUCUUUUUUCAGGGAGGAAGAUAUGACGUGUACCUGAAGAAUAAGCAUCGGCUAACUCCGUGCCAGCAGCCGCGGUAAGACGGAGGAUGCAAGUGUUAUCCGGAAUCACUGGGCGUAAAGCGUCUGUAGGUGGUUUAAUAAGUCGGCUGUUAAAUCUUGAGGCUUAACUUCAAAACUGCAGUUGAAACUAUUAAACUAGAGUAUAGUAGGGGUAAAGGGAAUUUCCAGUGGAGCGGUGAAAUGCGUAGAUAUUGGAAAGAACACCGAUGGCGAAGGCACUUUACUGGGCUAUUACUGACACUCAGAGACGAAAGCUAGGGUAGCAAAUGGGAUUAGAUACCCCAGUAGUCCUAGCCGUAAACAAUGGAUACUAGAUGUUGAACAGAUCGACCUGUGCAGUAUUAAAGCUAACGCGUUAAGUAUCCCGCCUGGGAAGUAUGCUCGCAAGAGUGAAACUC
rnacentral:rRNA from 1 species